rnacentral:tRNA from 1 species
GGAGUCGUGCCUGAAUGCCCAAGGGCCACUUUGAUAGAGUGAAUCACGGGGGUUAAACUCCCCCCGACUCCU